GACGAACGCUGGCGGCGUGCCUAAUACAUGCAAGUCGAACGCUUCUUUCCUCCCGAGUGCUUGCACUCAAUUGGAAAGAGGAGUGGCGGACGGGUGAGUAACACGUGGGUAACCUACCCAUCAGAGGGGGAUAACACUUGGAAACAGGUGCUAAUACGGCAUAACAGUUUAUGCCGCAUGGCAUAAGAGUGAAAGGCGCUUUCGGGUGUCGCUGAUGGAUGGACCCGCGGUGCAUUAGCUAGUUGGUGGGGUAACGGCUCACCAGGGCCACGAUGCAUAGCCGACGGGAGAGGGUGGUCGGCCACACUGGGACUGGGACACGGCCCAGACUCCUACGGGAGGCAGCAGUAGGGAAUCGGCGGCAAUGGACGAAAGUCUUACCGAGCAACGCCGCGUGAGUGAAGAAGGUGUUCGGAUCGUAAAACUCUGUUGUGAGAGAAGAACAAGGACGUUAGUAACUGAACGUCCCCUGACGGUAUCUAACCAGAAAGCCACGGCUAACUACGUG
rnacentral:rRNA from 1 species